rnacentral:sRNA from 3 species
GUUUGCACUUGUCGGGGAAGGGUGAGAACCUUCGAUUAAGGUUCGACUCGAGCGAAAGCGAGAGAACGUUGCCAACGGCAACGGCCCGUAGGGU